CUGGGACAAGCCCUGGAAACGGGGUCUAAUACCGGAUAACACUCUGUCCCGCAUGGGACGGGGUUAAAAGCUCCGGCGGUGAAGGAUGAGCCCGCGGCCUAUCAGCUUGUUGGUGGGGUAAUGGCCUACCAAGGCGACGACGGGUAGCCGGCCUGAGAGGGCGACCGGCCACACUGGGACUGAGACACGGCCCAGACUCCUACGGGAGGCAGCAGUGGGGAAUAUUGCACAAUGGGCGAAAGCCUGAUGCAGCGACGCCGCGUGAGGGAUGACGGCCUUCGGGUUGUAAACCUCUUUCAGCAGGGAAGAAGCGAAAGUGACGGUACCUGCAGAAGAAGCGCCGGCUAACUACGUGCCAGCAGCCGCGGUAAUACGUAGGGCGCAAGCGUUGUCCGGAAUUAUUGGGCGUAAAGAGCUCGUAGGCGGCUU
rnacentral:rRNA from 1 species